ACAUAGGAUAUGGGCGGCCCUUGUUUGUGGGCCUCUCAUAGUGAACCCAUGCCAGAGGAAGUUGCAGCCUCAAACCAUUGCCCAGCCCCCUUACCCUUGGGCUGUGAGCACUGAAGGGGGCUGUACAGUA
ensembl:snoRNA small nucleolar RNA SNORA42/SNORA80 family